GACGAACGCUGGCGGCGUGCCUAAUACAUGCAAGUAGAACGCUGAAGAGAGGAGCUUGCUCUUCUUGGAUGAGUUGCGAACGGGUGAGUAACGCGUAGGUAACCUGCCUGGUAGCGGGGGAUAACUAUUGGAAACGAUAGCUAAUACCGCAUAAAAUGGAUUAUCGCAUGAUAAUCCAUUGAAAGGUGCAAAUGCAUCACUACCAGAUGGACCUGCGUUGUAUUAGCUAGUCGGUGGGGUAACGGCUCACCAAGGCGACGAUACAUAGCCGACCUGAGAGGGUGAUCGGCCACACUGGGACUGAGACACGGCCCAGACUCCUACGGGAGGCAGCAGUAGGGAAUCUUCGGCAAUGGACGGAAGUCUGACCGAGCAACGCCGCGUGAGUGAAGAAGGUUUUCGGAUCGUAAAGCUCUGUUGUAAGAGAAGAACGAGUGUGAGAGUGGAAAGUUCACACUGUGACGGUAUCUUACCAGAAAGGGACGGCUAACUACGUG
rnacentral:rRNA from 1 species